CGGACCAUUAAGGAUUUCUUCUUGAAGAAAUCCUUAAUGGUCUGCUCAAUUGUGCUGAGUUAUAAAUCAUUGUCAUCCUUUUUCUUACUAAAUUUGAUUAGUUCUUCCAAUUCCUCUUCAGUUAAUUCCUUGUAUGACUGCAACAGUUGCUUUAUGUUAUCAUUUAUGUCUGCCAAACCUUCACUACCCAGGCAUUUUGCAACAUCCACUAUCUUCUUGAUCUCUGGGAAUUAUGUUGGGCAAAUUCAUUCAAUAUUCUCUUUCCACAGCUUAGACCAAUAGGUAUUCAGAAGUGAUUGCUUUAUUUCAUCAAGUGAGUCUUUAAUGAAGGCAAUACAGUUGGCAAUGUUGAAUUGUUUUCAGUAAUCUGUGACUGUCAGAUUUGAGUCAUUUUCAAU
rnacentral:lncRNA from 1 species